UCCUUAUCGAGAGAGACUGAGGGGCUGGCCCGAUGACGUUUCAGCAACCAGCGUGUUUCAUUUGCAUGCAAAGGUGCAUAAAUCCUGCAGAUUAAAAUUCUGAAAGAUGAGGG
rnacentral:ncRNA from 2 species